GAUUUCAACUGAAAAAGUCAUCAACAACAAAUUGUAUAACUCAUCAAGAUCUAUAAAUUUUAUUUUAAUCAUUUCUUCAUCCCACAAAGUUAUUUUUAAGAUUGUUCACAAAAUGUACAUCUCUUAUAUAGUUUUAUAAAAACUAUAUAAGAGAUGUUUAUUUUGUGAACAAUCUUACAAAUAACUUUGUUGGAUGAAGAAAUGAUUAAAAUAAAAUUUAUAGAUCUUGAUGAGUUAUACAACUUUGUUGUUGAUGACUUUUUCAGUUGAAAUU
rnacentral:pre_miRNA from 1 species